CAGCCAUGGAAGUCGAGGCCGGACCCACCAUCGCCUGCCUCCUCCUUUUCCCCGUCCCCGCAGCUAGGGUUUCUCGCGUCCCCCCGGCCCCCGGAAUCCCAUCUCCUCCCCGAUCGGAGUGAGGUUUCUAGGGUUUCGAUCGGUUAAUCGAUCCGACGACGUCCCGCCGGAGCCAAACUGUCCGCAUUCCAACGCAGCCAUGGCUGCAAAGAUUCUUGCCAACCUGAUCAUUAUGGGUUCUGGGAUAUUAGGAAGGGCUGUUUUACAAGCGUAUCGCAAAGCGCUAGAAAAUGCUAAUAAAACUGGUGUUGCAAAUGAAACUAUACAAAAUAUACGCAGAGCUAGUAAAGUCAUGACUGAACAGGAGGCGCGGCAGAUAUUGGGGAUUAGCGAGCAGUCAACCUGGGAAGAGGUUCUGCAGAAGUAUGAUGGCUUGUUUGAGAGGAACGCCAAAAACGGGAGCUUUUACCUGCAGUCAAAGGUUCACAGGGCCAAAGAAUGCCUAGAAGCUGUGUACCAAGGGAAGGGAGAGGGAAAAAGAUGAAGUCUGCUAACCUUCCCCUUGUUGGGACUUCGCAAUGCAACUGUUAUCUCGGCAAUGUUUUUAUCACAGCCAAGAUCUCCACUUCUAUCAGUAUGUUUAUAUGGAUAUAAACAAAUGGCGUAAGCAAACUAAUGCAUUAGAAGAUUGGCUGGCAAUCUGAUUCAGACCAAAGCAAGCUUGAAGGCCUGGAGAGUGCAAUUUAUUUCAAAAUUCAGUAGAAUCUGAAGUCGCACAAAUGUCGUAUAAAAUAAGUCCAAGUCAUUAUUCAUACAUUUUCGUGGGGGAAUUCGUGAGUUCAGCUGCAAUAUUUUCUUUUCUGUUUGCCAGAGGCAAAAAAGUGAUCCAAUUCAUGUUUAUGAGGAUCUUGAGGCCAGUAGGAAGCCAUCGAGCUUUGAAGACAUUUAUCGGUUGCCAUGCCAAAGAUGAUGCUCGAUCGGCAUAUGCUGGCACACUGUUUCAUAAAAGCCAUGCCGGCGUUUAUGAGGUUAUUGGUAGGAAAGGUGGGAGCAAUGCUGGACAUUUAUUCAUUUGAUGCUUGUAUGCCUUGUUUUUAUCCGGCCUUUGGUUAUGUCGCAGGUUUCCAGAUACAUACUUAUAUAUACAUA